CUGACACCCAGGUGAGUCCAGGUGAGUCCAGGUGAGUCCAGGUGAGUCCAGGUGAGUCCAGGUGAGUCCAGGUGACUGAGCGCGCUCAGUGCAGAUGCUCUGUUUACAUGACAAACUAGAGCUGAACACGCUUACAUGGAGGUGUUUCAUACCUGCUGACACGCUUCAACUGUAACUGUACACACACACGCACACACACACACACACACACACGCGCGCGCGCGCGCGCACACACAGACACACACAAACGCUGCGCUGAGUGAUGUCGUGUUCAGGAAUGUGUGUGAGUCGGAACAAUAAUGUGGGUCUGUGUUGUGUUACAGAGGCUCCUUUGUGUUCAGGUUCCUGCUCCAUAUGUCGUCAUACGUGUUCUAACCUGUGAACACGCUCCACCUGAACAACACGCUACAGAUUAAAUAGUCCAGGACAGCGUGUCCGUUUGCUCACGGCUCGACUCCGGUCCUCCAGCUGGGAUCUAAGCUGCUCAGAGGAACGUUGUUGAACCGUCAGAACCUGAAGCUCUCAGCUGAAGACAGACACUCCGUUCCUGCCGACUACAUUUCCACCGCCAGCCGUGAAAUGACUGUAAUUUAAAGGAGAGGAGGAGGAGGAAGAGGAGGAGGAAGAAAUCUAAUGGAGGCCAUCACUGCUUCCUGUCCUGAUGGGGAGGCGAGGAGCUGCUGUCAAUCAAACAGCUGUUGAUUAGAAACACCUGCAUUGGAUCAGGUGUAGAAUAAUAGAGUGAAACUGAUGAUUUAGUGAACAUUAAAACGUCUCAGAGUUUCCUGGAUGUUCCUGCUUCAUGUGAGAACAUCUGGUGGAACCGACUGAUGUUGGUCAGAAGGAAAAUCAGCAGCAGCUUCCUAAACUCUGGACUUGAAAGAUUCAUGUCUCGGCUGUGUUUUUUUGUUUUUUUGAAACUUCUGUCUCCUUUUUCUUCACUGUGGUUCAUUUUAAAGUCCUGCAGCUCUAAGGAACCAGAACAUCAUGAAGGAGAGAAAAUCAGAGACGUCUUCUAUCAGUAGGACUCAGAACGAUGGAAACUAUGUUUGAAAUGACUCAAACUUUGCUUAAAAUGUCAAAAUUUUGGGCAAAAUGGUUCAAAUCUUUCUCCAACAUUAGUCCAAAAUCACUCACCGUUUGCUUAGAAUUGUAAAAUGUGUCUUAAAAGUUGUUUAACUUGUUAUUUAAAAUGACAGAAAUUCGUCCAAAAAUGAAUACAUGAAUAAAAGCCGUCCUCUGUCA